AAAUACUUUCCACCGAUAAUUAAUGUGGCGUGUACGACUGAGUUAUGAUGGUAGGAUAUGUUAUCGUACUUUCUACGGAAAUCGCGAAUAAACAACAUUCGUGAACCGAUUUGGUAUAUAAUGGAUUUGGUUACCCUCCAAUCAGUCUAAUCAAUUAUACCGUUUACUACUGUAUAUAUUGCCGUGUUCCUCGGCGACGGUUGAGAGAAUGUUU